AAAAUAGCAAUUCGGGUCCACCGUCAACCUCAACGGCACCCGACAGUUCGGAACAGACUAAAUACUGCUGUAAAAAUAAGCUCGGCAUUCCAGCAUGAGAGUAAAUACAUUUUACACUAUCCUGGGUAUCCACCACCAACAAACUGCGGCGAUACAAAGAAACUACAGCUCCUAACCUAUCCGCGUAUCAAAUGCGCACUACAGCGUGGAUACGAACCGCAACAGCUUC
rnacentral:lncRNA from 1 species